rnacentral:rRNA from 1 species
GACGAACGCUGGCGGCGUGCUUAACACAUGCAAGUCGAACGGAAAGGCCCCUUUGGGGGUACUCGAGUGGCGCACGGGUGAGUAACACGUGAGUAACCUGCCCUUGACUUCGGGAUAACUUCAGGAAACUGGGGCUAAUACCGGAUAGGAAUCCUUGCGGCAUGGUGGGGGUUGGAAAGCUUCGGCGGUUUUGGAUGGACUCGCGGCUUAUCAGCUUGUUGGUGGGGUAGUGGCUUACCAAGGCUUUGACGGGUAGCCGGCCUGAGAGGGCGACCGGCCACAUUGGGACUUAGAUACGGCCCAGACGCCUACGGGAGGCAGCAGUGGGGAAUAUUGCACAAUGGGCGGAAGCCUGAUGCAGCAACGCCGCGUGCGGGAUGACGGCCUUCGGGUUGUAAACCGCUUUCAGCAGGGGCGAAGCUUGUGGUGACGGUACCUGCAGAAGAAGCACCGGCUAACUACGUG